UACGUAGGGUGCAAGCGUUGUCCGGAAUUAUUGGGCGUAAAGAGCUCGUAGGCGGUCUGUCGCGUCUGCUGUGAAAACUCGGGGCUCAACCCCGAGCCUGCAGUCGAUACGGGCAGACUAGAGUCCGGCAGGGGAGACUGGAAUUCCUGGUGUAGCGGUGAAAUGCGCAGAUAUCAGGAGGAACACCGGUGGCGAAGGCGGGUCUCUGGGCCGGAACUGACGCUGAGGAGCGAAAGCGUGGGGAGCGAACAGG
rnacentral:rRNA from 1 species